AGCAGAGCUGAUCCUGCAGCACCCCUGUUAUCUAGGGCACAGACCUUGGAUAUUCGGGGGAAACAUCCAGAGCAGGCUGCUGUGCAUGGAGCUCCUGGGGAGGAUCACCAGGAGGCUUUGAGGAAGCCUUCAGAAAUGAAGCACCAGACACGAAGAAGUGCAGCCAGAAUGACUGUGCAAGGCAACGAGCUCAAAGCUGGGCAUCCCUUUUGUAAACCUUUCCACCCCAAAGGCAUCAUUUUGAGCAGUUACAUGUAUGAAAUGAGAAAAUUACGGAGAUCUAUGGAUCUACCUGCAUCCUGUCCUGGAUACUUCAAAAGCUGCAGUUAAAAGUAUAAACCAAACUUCCUCUGCACUUACAGCAGAACAUACUGGGGCAGCUGCAUAACCACAGUUAUAGGAGGAGGGAGAAGGUUUCUGUGGCUCUGCCAGUGGCUCAGCAGGAAUGGACUCAGCUGGAUAAUACCUUUGUCUUCCGUGGUGGUGAAUAUAAUAAAAUUGCACUGAAAGGGCAGAACUCCUGUAGCAGCAACACUUGGGGGACACCAGAACUGUGACAAACCCCACUCGCUCUGUUCUCCAACGUCAGCGAAGCAACAGCACCUAAAAUAAUAUUCUCUCAGAUGACUCUGGCUUCAAGGAAUGAAGUGAGAGCUUUUUGAUAGAAACCCUAAAGGAGGACUCAUGUCUGUAGGGAGACUGAACACAUGGGAUCUGAAUCCUAGUUAACAGUGAAUUCUCUAUUACAAGAAGUAAAAGCUUAUGAAUAUUUUCCUUGGCUCUGAAAGUGGAAGCUGACACUAGCUCGUAUGGGAGAAUUUUAACUAAUGAUUAUUACAAUGCUUAUCUGCUAAUUUGCUUCUCCAUAUUUGGAAUCAGUAUGCUUUAUAAGCGUGUGAAAUUUUUGGAGCUCUUGCUAAAAUUUCAACUAGCCAAACACUUAUCUGCAUUUCAUUAUUAUUGAAAUAAUUAUAGUAAUAAGUAAUAGUAAACAAAAU